rnacentral:rRNA from 1 species
UGCAAGUCGAGCGAACAGAUAAGGAGCUUGCUCCUUUGACGUUAGCGGCGGACGGGUGAGUAACACGUGGGUAACCUACCUAUAAGACUGGGAUAACUUCGGGAAACCGGAGCUAAUACCGGAUAACAUUUGGAACCGCAUGGUUCUAAAGUGAAAGAUGGUUUUGCUAUCACUUAUAGAUGGACCCGCGCCGUAUUAGCUAGUUGGUAAGGUAACGGCUUACCAAGGCGACGAUACGUAGCCGACCUGAGAGGGUGAUCGGCCACACUGGAACUGAGACACGGUCCAGACUCCUACGGGAGGCAGCAGUAGGGAAUCUUCCGCAAUGGGCGAAAGCCUGACGGAGCAACGCCGCGUGAGUGAUGAAGGGUUUCGGCUCGUAAAACUCUGUUAUUAGGGAAGAACAAAUGUGUAAGUAACUGUGCACGUCUUGACGGUACCUAAUCAGAAAGCCACGGCUAACUACGUGCCAGCAGCCGCGGUAAUACGUAGGUGGCAAGCGUUAUCCGGAAUUAUUGGGCGUAAAGCGCGCGUAGGCGGUUUCUUAAGUCUGAUGUGAAAGCCCACGGCUCAACCGUGGAGGGUCAUUGGAAACUGGGAAACUUGAGUGCAGAAGAGGAAAGUGGAAUUCCAUGUGUAGCGGUGAAAUGCGCAGAGAUAUGGAGGAACACCAGUGGCGAAGGCGACUUUCUGGUCUGUAACUGACGCUGAUGUGCGAAAGCGUGGGGAUCAAACAGGAUUAGAUACCCUGGUAGUCCACGCCGUAAACGAUGAGUGCUAAGUGUUAGGGGGUUUCCGCCCCUUAGUGCUGCAGCUAACGCAUUAAGCACUCCGCCUGGGGAGUACGACCGCAAGGUUGAAACUCAAAGGAAUUGACGGGGACCCGCACAAGCGGUGGAGCAUGUGGUUUAAUUCGAAGCAACGCGAAGAACCUUACCAAAUCUUGACAUCCUUUGAAAACUCUAGAGAUAGAGCCUUCCCCUUCGGGGGACAAAGUGACAGGUGGUGCAUGGUUGUCGUCAGCUCGUGUCGUGAGAUGUUGGGUUAAGUCCCGCAACGAGCGCAACCCUUAAGCUUAGUUGCCAUCAUUAAGUUGGGCACUCUAAGUUGACUGCCGGUGACAAACCGGAGGAAGGUGGGGAUGACGUCAAAUCAUCAUGCCCCUUAUGAUUUGGGCUACACACGUGCUACAAUGGACAAUACAAAGGGCAGCUAAACCGCGAGGUCAUGCAAAUCCCAUAAAGUUGUUCUCAGUUCGGAUUGUAGUCUGCAACUCGACUACAUGAAGCUGGAAUCGCUAGUAAUCGUAGAUCAGCAUGCUACGGUGAAUACGUUCCCGGGUCUUGUACACACCGCCCGUCACACCACGAGAGUUUGUAACACCCGAAGCCGGUGGAGUAACCAUUUAUGGAGCUAGCC